rnacentral:lncRNA from 1 species
UCGGAGCUAAAUAGCCCGUCACUAUGUGCAAAGAACUGCUUAAGAGAGAGUUCAAGAUUAGAGCACAACAAUCAAACCCAAGACAUUGUCACAGAUUUAUAUAGAUCUUAAGAAAAACAACCCCUAAUUGACUCAAGACCGUAACCAAAUGUAGCCAAAAUUCUAUACAGUUUAAUCAACUAAAAGAACAUUGAAAACCUUCUGCAAAUGAUAACUAUACAUAGUCACAACCAAAAUCUGACUAUACACUACACCAGAAAACCAGAAACUAGAUCUGAUUUACAGUGAAAACCACCGACCUUGAACAGGAGAGGUUACGCAAGAUUUAGAGAGAGAAAAGUGAAAGGUUGAAAGAAUGAAUGAAUGAAUGAACAUCAAUCAGUCGGGCCAACUCAAGGGUCAAAAAUAUGCCUUUAAACUACAGCAGUUAGAUCCCGAUCAACCACAAGAAACUUAGAUCCAAGUCACCGUAAAUCAGCCAACAGAUUUAUGCCAAGUGGUUAUACUCAGGAAAAAUGUUUUUCCACUUUUGAAAACGGGUUUAGAGAACACAUUUUACAAUCUUUACCUUGUGUUUCUCUAACCAGUCACUCUCUCUAAUUGCUACAUUGCACGUGAUGGUAGUUUACCCUACAUCAUCGCCCACGUAUCUGCAAAAAAUUACCCUUUAUCAAUAUUCAGCAAAGACAGACAAGCUUUGAACUUACCAAUAGAUAGAAUUUAUAGGUAGAAUGUUAUGUAAAAGUAGCCAUUUUUCCAAGAGUAAAGAAAAAAAGAAAAAAGGGUGUAUGAAAUGUGAAAAUGCAACAGAUAUGACUCGUAGAAUGGCUAGGGCAUAUAGAGAAGCAUUGAACCAUAGAAUCGCCAUUCAGUCCUAUGAGAAUUACGUGACUGAUCUGCUCCGUCCACUUGACAAACAUAUACAUGAUGUCUAUGAGAGAUGCAUGAUAGCGGUGAACGCUGGAAUGGAAAUAACGCAUAUUGAGGCUAUAAAUAACCUCAUACACUCCCUUCCACCUCAAUGGGGAGAUAUGGGAGUCACGGUUAGGGAUGUAAUGAUAGAGGAGCACCCAAAUAUAUUUGAAUUUGAAGUGUAUUGUCAAUCACUCCUAGACCUAUGGAGGGAAAACUUAGAACCUCAACCGAAGAUAGUAAUUGAACUUGAUGAAGAAGAAGAGCUUGAAAAAGGGAAUGAUCUUGAGCCCGAGCCACAGGUUGAGAUGGACAUAGAAUCCGGACCUGAGGCGAAAGACUUAUCUGGAGAUGAGGCUCCACCAAAGAAGAUCCGUAGAGCUUAUAGGGAUUAGAUUUAAAUCCUUGUAACAACUUCCUUUAUGUCAAGAAAUAAAACUUUAUCUUCUUUGUUAGAAUUCGAAGUAUGAAACUAAUAAGAACCAUACGUUUUGUCUAAAGGAAAAUGGCCCGCGCAAACCAAACCAAC